CACGUAGGGUGCGAGCGUUGUCCGGAAUUAUUGGGCGUAAAGAGCUCGUAGGCGGUGUGUCGCGUCGGCCGUGAAAACCUGCAGCUUAACUGUGGGCGUGCGGUCGAUACGGGCAUCACUGGAGUUCGGCAGGGGAGACUGGAAUUCCUGGUGUAGCGGUGAAAUGCGCAGAUAUCAGGAGGAACACCGGUGGCGAAGGCGGGUCUC
rnacentral:rRNA from 1 species